ensembl:lncRNA
UGUCGCUACCCGAUCCGUACCGGAAACCCGAUCGGUACCACGCAUGCGCGAAUUUUACGUCACUUCCUCUCUUUGCCAACUUUGCGACAGUUACCGACUGCGGGACGUUUAAACAAUGGAUACCUCCAUUUACAACGAAAUUCAUGAUUUUCUCCUCAACGGAGAGCUUCCGGCGAUUGAACAAAAGCGCCGUAAAAUAAGAAGAAUGGAGCCUAAUUACAGACUUAAAGACAACAGACUCUUCUACACUGGCUCCAGUAUGCAGAGCAUGCGCCUGGUAGUCAUGUCAGAGGAGGAGAAGAAGUCUGUUUUGAUGGAAUGCCACAAUAACCCUGGUACCGGGAACCACAAUGGUGUCAGAGGUACCCAAAACAGCUUGCUGGCUAUUACUGGCCAACAUUGA